AGUGAACGCUGGCGGUAGGCCUAACACAUGCAAGUCGAACGGCAGCACAGUAAGAGCUUGCUCUUACGGGUGGCGAGUGGCGGACGGGUGAGGAAUACAUCGGAAACUACUUUUUCGUGGGGGAUAACGUAGGGAAACUUACGCUAAUACCGCAUACGACCUACGGGUGAAAGCAGGGGAUCUUCGGACCUUGCGCGAUUGAAUGAGCCGAUGUCGGGUUAGCUAGUUGGCAGGGUAAAGGCCCACCAAGGCAACGAUCCGUAGCUGGUCUGAGAGGAUGAUCAGCCACACUGGAACUGAGACACGGUCCAGACUCCUACGGGAGGCAGCAGUGGGGAAUAUUGGGCAAUGGGCGAAAGCCUGAUCCAGCCAUACCGCGUGGGUGAAGAAGGCCUUCGGGUUGUAAAGCCCUUUUGUUGGGAAAGAAAAGCAGCAGAUGAAUCCCCCGCUGUUCUGACGGUACCCAAAGAAUAAGCACCGGCUAACUUCGUG
rnacentral:rRNA from 1 species